rnacentral:rRNA from 1 species
GACGAACCGUCCAAACGUUAUUCGGAAUUACUGGGCUUAAAGGGUGCGUAGGCGGCGCGGAAAGUUGGGUGUGAAAUCCCUCGGCUCAACCGAGGAACUGCGCCCAAUACUACCGUGCUUGAGGGAGAUAGAGGUGAGCGGAACUUAGGGUGGAGCGGUGAAAUGCGUUGAUAUCCUAAGGAACACCGGUGGCGAAAGCGGCUCACUGGAUCUCUUCUGACGCUGAGGCACGAAAGC